rnacentral:rRNA from 1 species
AUGGGAGGAGGAGGCGGGACCAACCCCGCGGCCGUCGCCUUCGCGUUGCUCGCGGCGGCGGUGGUCGGCGCCGUUGCGGCGGCCGCGGAGGGGGACUCGCUCGCCGGCCUCGCCGCGGGCAUCGACGGCGCCGCGCCAGAGGUGAAGGAAUUGGGGCCAUGGGCGAAGGGGCUGCUCAACGGGAUGCCGGACGGGGCAGCAGGGCCGGCGGCCAUGGGGCCCGUCGCCAAGUACCCGCUGGUACUGGCCGAGGACAGGACGCGGCGGCCGGAUGUUCUCCGCCAUCUCAGGAUGUAUGGAGGUGGUUGGAACAUCACCAGCAAGCACUACUGGGCGUCUGUAUCAUUCACAGGAGUUGCUGGAUUUCUUCUUGCUGCCCUGUGGUUCAUUUCAUUUGGGAUUGCUGCAGCUUCAUUCUGCUUUUGUAAAUCAAGAGUGGGCAAAGCAAAGGUUUCCCAUGCAGAUGUAGCACGACCUGUGUUGCUUGUGGUUGCUGUGCUUGCUUUAAUAACUGGAUGCAUUGUCCUUCUCUAUGGGCAGAAUGAAUUCCGUGAAGAAGCUACCGAUACUUUGGAUUAUGUUGUCAACCAAUCUGAUUUCACUAUCCAGACGCUCAGGAAUGUUACAGAUUACUUGUCAUUUGCGACGACGAUCAAUGUGGCAGCACUGUAUCUUCCAUCAGAUGUGCAGGCUCAGAUUAACAAUUUGAAGGUGGACCUAAAUAAAGCAGCUGAUACCAUAUCUUUGAAGACAACAGAAAACUACAAAAGGAUCAGAAAAGUUCUCCAUAAUGUGUCUGUUGCAUUGAUUUGCAUAGCUGUGUUAAUGCCUGUUCUUGCAUUCCUUGGAUAUGUGCUGGAGCUAUACGGACCAAGAUAUACAGUUUACAUAUUUGCUACCAUAUGCUGGAACAUCGUGGCAGCUCUCUUCAUUCUUAUCGGGAUUCUUUUGAUAGUUACCAGUGCUUCAAAGGAUACAUGCCAGGCAAUGGACGAAUGGGCAGAACAUCCUCGAGCAGAAACUGCUCUCAGCAACAUCCUUCCAUGUGUGGACGCGAGUACAACCAACCGAACCUUGUACCAGAGUAAACAAGUCGUGGUGCAGCUCGUGAAGUUGGUCAACAGGGCUAUAUCUGCUCUUUCGAACCGAAAAGAGCGCCAUCUGCAUCCUGGGCAGCUCAUGCCUUACCUGUGUUCUCCCUACGAUGAAAACCUGAAUGAUCGGCAGUGCUUGUCCAAGGAGGUGACAUUUGACAAUGCAACGACAGCAUGGCAGGACUACACGUGCAACGCUCCCGACGCGGACGUGUGCUCCGGCCCGAGCACCGUGACACCGGAGAUCUACAGCCAGCUCGUCACGGCGGCGAACGUGAGCUACGCGCUGCACCACUACGCGCCGCCCAUGCUCAACUUCCAGGACUGCAAGUUUGUGCGCGACACGUUCAGCUCCAUCGCCUCGCAGUACUGCCCGCCCCUGGAGCGAGACCUCAGCCUCGUCUCCGCGGGGCUGGCGCUCCUCGCCUCGGGCCUCGUCGUUGGCCUUCUCCUGAUGCUCUUUGCGGACCGCCCCCGAAAAAGGGAGGAGGUGUCCGAGCAGACGUCGGGGUUCAGAGUCGCACCCGUGGACUGCUCCCCGUGA